AUAUUUAAUUGUCCACUAUCAAACCGGUGAAGUAUAUAUAUUUACAUCGAUUUUGUUGAACUAUCAUAGUUUAUUUGCUAUUCAAAAUGAACGCCAAAUCGAUAUUUUUAAUUUGUCUUAUCUUUACAUGCUUAAUAGCAUCAACCUUCGUUGCUGCUUAUCCUGGCGGCGACGUUGUUGAAUCGAGCCCUUCAAACCAAGCCACUAAUAAUAACAAGCAGAAUGCAGACGUUGGUCAACGACAAUCGGAUCGACAUGGAUUAAUUUGAUUACUCACAAAAUAUGAUGUGCAAAUAAAGUAUAUAAAAUAA